CACGUAGUUAGCCGGGGCUUCUUCUGGAGGUACCGUCACCCUCUGGGCUAUUCACCCGAGGGGCUUCGUCCCUCCUGAAAGCGGUUUACAACCCGAAGGCCUUCUUCCCGCACGCGGCGUCGCUGCGUCAGGCUUUCGCCCAUUGCGCAAGAUUCCCCACUGCUGCCUCCCGUAGGAGUCUGGGCCGUGUCUCAGUCCCAGUGUGGCUGGUCAUGCUCUCACACCAGCUACGGAUCGUCGCCUUGGUGAGCCGUUACCUCACCAACAAGCUAAUCCGCCGCGGGCCCAUCCUCGGUCGGAGGCCGAAGCUACCUUUUCUCCGCUGCCCGAAAGCUGCGGAGGCCAUCUGGUAUUAGCACCGGUUUCCCGAAGUUACUCCCAGAACCGAGGGCAGGUCACCCACGUGUUACUCACCCGUUCGCCGCUCCGUACCGAGGGGCAACGCCCUGGCCGAUCGCUCGACUUGCAUGUGUUAGCGCGCCGCAGCGUUCGUCCGUCGACGCCGACGGACUACAACUCCUACUCGUACG
rnacentral:rRNA from 1 species